rnacentral:rRNA from 1 species
UACGUAGGGUGCGAGCGUUAAUCGGAAUUACUGGGCGUAAAGCGUGCGCAGGCGGUUUUGUAAGACAGGCGUGAAAUCCCCGGGCUCACCUGGGAAUGGCGCUUGUGACUGCAAAGCUGGAGUGCGGCAGAGGGGGAUGGAAUUCCGCGUGUAGCAGUGAAAUGCGUAGAUAUGCGGAGGAACACCGAUGGCGAAGGCAAUCCCCUGGGCCUGCACUGACGCUCAUGCACGAAAGCGUGGGGAGCAAACAGG